CCAACACGUCAGUAACACAGACAGCAAGGCUUCAAAACAAAGCAUUGCGCUGUACAGACUUAACUCCUGUUGUGCCACACUAUUUGCCAGAUGUCUGUGGAGUCGCUGUUCCCGGCACUUGAGACUCAGGAAAUUUUGCCAGAUGGAACUCUCAGAAAAACCAGCAGUUGUGGACAAGGGGCCUUCAGGCCUGAGUUGAGGUCUGCUCCUUUUACCAAGCCAAACCAGAAAGCCCCAGUUUCUGGACAGUCCAUAUGGCAGAGCUGUGGAGGCUGGGACAUGAAAAGCCUGGUAAACUUGCUUCUCCAGUCCUCCAGAAGCCUACUUGAUGGGGUAUCAAGAAGUGGGUGUACAAAUAUAGAUGGGGACAACCUCUGAUGAGAUUAUGGCAAUUUUCAGGCAAAACUAAUUUUCUUUUUGAAGAACUGAG
ensembl:lncRNA